rnacentral:rRNA from 1 species
GAUGAACGCUAGCGAUAUGCCUAAUACAUGCAAGUCGAGCGGACGCACAAGGUACUUGCUUCUCUGGUUUUAGCCGCGCGCAGGUGUGUAAAACGUGUAUACCCUACGUAUUAUACUGGGAUAACUUCGGGACACCGAAGCUCAUACACUGUGUUAUCUUGCACCUCAUGAUUAAAAGGUGAAGAACGAUCUUGCUGUCAGUUAUAGAUGGGUAUGCAUUGCCUUAGCGUGUUGGUAAGGUCACAGCUUACCAAGGCAACGAUGCGUAGGGGAACUGAGAGGUGUAUCCCCCACACUGGUACUGAGACACGGACCAGACUCCUACGGGAGGCAGCAGUGAGGAAUAUUGGUCAAUGGGCGCGAGCCUGAACCAGCCAAGUCGCGUGAAGGAUGACUGUCUUAUGGAUUGUAAACUUCUUUUAUACGGGAAUAACAAGAGUCACGUGUGACUCCCUGCAUGUACCGUAUGAAUAAGCAUCGGCUAACUCCGUG